UACAGAGGGGGCAAGCGUUGUUCGGAAUUACUGGGCGUAAAGGGCGCGUAGGCGGCCUGUUAAGUCGAACGUGAAAUCCCCGGGCUCAACCCGGGAACUGCGUCCGAUACUGGCAGGCUUGAAUUCGGGAGAGGGAUGUGGAAUUCCGGGUGUAGCGGUGGAAUGCGUAGAGAUCCGGAAGAACACCGGAGGCGAAGGCGGCUUGCUGGGCUUGGUCUGACGCUGAGGCGCGAAAGCGUGGGGAGCGAACAGG
rnacentral:rRNA from 1 species